AUGAAAUGGGGAACUCAGAGAGGGAGGGGCUCCUACCCCUGCACCCUGUUAUUUAUACUUGCAUUUCAGAGAGUAUUCAUUUGUAAUGCUUGUCUGAAUAAAAAUCAAAGAUCCUGGAGGAUUUUCCUUACAAUGCUGGGUGCAGUGAUGUUCAUCUCUGGGUUCUACUACACAAGAAUAGCAUAUUAUGCUUACAAAGGGUACCAGGGCUUCUCUUUUGCCAACAUUCCUCCCAUAUGA
rnacentral:rRNA from 1 species